rnacentral:rRNA from 1 species
CCUACGGGAGGCAGCAGUAGGGAAUAUUGCUCAAUGGGGGAAACCCUGAAGCAGCAACGCCGCGUGGAGGAUGAAGGUUUUAGGAUUGUAAACUCCUUUUGUGAGAGAAGAUAAUGACGGUAUCUCACGAAUAAGCACCGGCUAACUACGAGACAGAAGCCGCGGGAAUACGGAGGGUGCAAGCGUUACUCGGAAUCACUGGGCGUAAAGGGUGCGGAGGCGGGCUUGUAAGUCAGCUGUGAAAUCCUGGAGCCUAAAUACAGAACUGCAGUUGAAACUCUGAGUCUAGAGUGUGGGAGAGGUAGGUGGAAUGCUUGGUGUAGGGGUAAAAUCCGUAGAUAUCAAGCGGAACUCUCAUUGCGAAGGCGGCCUACUGGAGCGUUACUGACGCUCAUGCACGAAAGCGUGGGGAUCGAACAGGAUUAGAUACCCCUGUAGUC